UCAAGCUACAAAGAGCGUAAGGGGAAUGCCUUGGCACCAGGAGCCGACGAAGGACGCAGCGAUCUGCGAAAAGCCACGGGGAGCCGAAAGCAGGCUUUGAUCCGUGGAUAUCCGAAUGGGGAAACCCGCAUGGUUAAUAGCCAUGCGACGUAUACUGAAUAAAUAGGUAUGCGUCGGGAACCGUCUGAACUGAAACAUCUAAGUAGGACGAGGAAAAGAAAUCAACCGAGAUUCCGUAAGUAGUGGCGAGCGAACACGGAAGAGGCCAAACCGAAGGUAGCAAUAUCUUCGGGGUACGGACAGUAAACGGCAUUGCGGUAUCUUAGCAGAAGUGCAUGGGACGGCACACCAUAGAGAGUGAUAGUCUCGUAAGCGAAAAGAGAAGGCAGCCAACUGUAUCCAGAGUACCGCCGGACACGUGAAACCCGGUGGGAACAUGGGGGGACCAUCCUCCAAGCCUAAAUACUCCCUGGUGACCGAUAGAGAACAGUACUGUGAAGGAAAGGUGAAAAGAACCCCGGGAGGGGAGUGAAAAGAACCUGAAACCUUAUGCUUACAAGCACCGAGAGCCCAUCAAAGGGUGAUCGGGUACCUUUUGUAGAAUGGUCCGGCGAGUGAAUGUAACUGGCAAGGUUAAGCACUUCAGGUGUGGAGCCGAAGCGAAAGCAAGUCUUAAUAGGGCGUCAAGUCAGUUGUAUUCGACCCGAAACCGUGUGACCUAGCCAUGAGCAGGCUGAAGUGGAGGUAAAACUCCAUGGAGGGCCGAACCCACUCCCGUUGAAAUGGUAGGGGAUGACUUGUGGCUAGCGGAGAAAUUCCAAUCGAACUCGGAGAUAGCUGGUUCUCUCCGAAAUAGCUUUAGGGCUAGCCUCGAUUUGACAUUACCGGAGGUAAAGCACUGAAUGGGCUAGGGGCCGAGAGGUUACUGAACCCUAUCAAACUAAGAAUGCCGGAUAAUGAUAAUCGGGAGUCAGACAGUGUGAGAUAAGUUUCAUUGUCAAAAGGGAAACAGCCCAGACCCACAGCUAAGGUCCCAAAGUACAGUUAAGUGGUGAAGGAUGUGGAAUUGCAUAGACAACCAGGAUGUUGGCUUAGAAGCAGCCACUCAUUAAAAGAGUGCGUAAUAGCUCACUGGUCGAGUGAUUCUGCGCCGAAAAUUUAACGGGGCUAAAUUGUACACCGAAGCUUGGGAUACAUCUAAUGUAUGGUAGGAGAGCGUUGUAUACGGGGUGAAGUCAGAGCGGAAGCGCUGGUGGACUGUAUACAAGUGAGAAUGCCGGAAUGAGUAGCGAGAAUUAUGUGAGAAUCAUAAUGGCCGAAAGACUAAGGUUUUAGAAGGAAGGUUCGUCCGCUUCUAGUCAGCCGGGAGCUAAGGCGAGGCCGAAAGGCGUAGUCGAUGCACAUACGGUGGAGAUUCCGUAGCCGCCAUUAAUUUAAACAGAGGGACACUUUCAAGGGGCAUGACCCGGGCGUUGGUAGACCCGGGCGUAAGGGACCGAAGAUUAGUAGGGAAGCAUGCUUUAAGGAAGGCGAGAAAAGCUCUGUGUAUAGAAGAUGGCGCCCGUACCGCAAACCGACACAGGUAGUCAGGAAGAGAAUUCUAAGGCCAACGGGAGAAGGGUAGUUAAGGAACUCGGCAAAUUGACCCCGUAACUUCGGAAUAAGGGGUGCUCACGAGAGUGAGCCGCAGUGAAUAGGUCCAGGCGACUGUUUAUCAAAAACACAGCUCUCUGCUAAAUCGAAAGAUGACGUAUAGGGGGUGACACCUGCCCGGUGCUGGAAGGUUAAGAGGAAGGGUGCAAGCUCUGAAUUGAAGCCCCAGUAAACGGCGGCCGUAACUAUAACGGUCCUAAGGUAGCGAAAUUCCUUGUCGGGUAAGUUCC
rnacentral:rRNA from 1 species